rnacentral:rRNA from 1 species
GACGUAGGGCGCAAGCGUUGUCCGGAUUUAUUGGGCGUAAAGAGCUCGUAGGCGGUCUGUCGCGUCGGCUGUGAAAACUCGGGGCUCAACCCCGAGCCUGCAGUCGAUACGGGCAGACUAGAGUGCGGUAGGGGAGACUGGAAUUCCUGGUGUAGCGGUGAAAUGCGCAGAUAUCAGGAGGAACACCAGUGGCGAAGGCGGCUUUCUGGACGGUAACUGACGCUGAGACGCGAAAGCGUGGGGAGCAAACAGG